rnacentral:piRNA from 1 species
UGCUGGUUUAGAACACUUGGUGC